AGUGAACGCUGGCGGUAGGCCUAACACAUGCAAGUCGAACGGCAGCACAGUAAGAGCUUGCUCUUACGGGUGGCGAGUGGCGGACGGGUGAGGAAUACAUCGGAAUCUACUUUUUCGUGGGGGAUAAGGUAGGGAAAGUUACGCUAAUACCGCAUAAGACCUACGGGUGAAAGCAGGGGAUCUUCGGACCUUCCGCGAUUGAAGGAGCCGAUGUCGGAUUAGCUCGUUGGCGGGGUAAAGGCCCACCAAGGCGACGAUCCGUAGCUGGUCUGAGAGGAUGGUCAGCAACACUGGAACUGGGCCACGGUCCAGACCCCUACGGGAGGCAGCGGUGGGGAAUAUUGGACAAUGGGCGCAAGCCUGCUCCAGCCAUACCGCGUGGGUGAAGAAGGCCUUCGGGUUGUAAAGCCCUUUUGUUGGGAAAGAAAAGCAGCAGGUUAAUACCCCGCUGUUCUGACGGUACCCAAAGAAUAAGCACCGGCUAACUUCGUG
rnacentral:rRNA from 1 species